AUUGAACGCUGGCGGCAGGCCUAACACAUGCAAGUCGAACGGGUGGCGGACGGGUGAGUAAUGUCUGGGAAACUGCCUGAUGGAGGGGGAUAACUACUGGAAACGGUAGCUAAUACCGCAUACCAUCAGAUGUGCCCAGAGGGGAUUAGCUAGUUGGCUGGGUAACGGCUAACCACGGCGACGAUCCCUAGCUGGGCUGAGAGGAUGACCAUCCACACUGGAACUGAGCCACGUCCCAGACUCAUACGGUAGGCAGCAGUGGGGAAUAUUGCACAAUGGGCGCAAGCCUGAUGCAGCCAUGCCGCGGUUGUGAAGAAGGCCUUCGGGUUGUAAAGUACUUUCAGCGGGGAGGCGUUACCCGCAGAAGAAGCACCGGCUAACUCCGUGCCAGCAGCCGCGGUAAUAC
rnacentral:rRNA from 1 species